UACGAAGGGUGCAAGCGUUACUCGGAAUUACUGGGCGUAAAGCGUGCGUAGGUGGUUUGUUAAGUCUGUUGUGAAAGCCCCGGGCUCAACCUGGGAAUGGCAAUGGAUACUGGCAAGCUAGAGUGCGGUAGAGGGUAGUGGAAUUCCCGGUGUAGCGGUGAAAUGCGUAGAGAUCGGGAGGAACACCAGUGGCGAAGGCGCCGCUCUGGGCCGUGACUGACGCUGAGGAGCGAAAGCGUGGGUAGCAAACAGG
rnacentral:rRNA from 1 species